rnacentral:misc_RNA from 1 species
AAGUCGUAACAAGGUUUCCGUAGGUGAACCUGCGGAAGGAUCAUUAACGAAUAACUAUGGCGUUGGUUGUAGCUGGCUCCUCGGAGCAAUGUGCACGCCCGCCAUUUUUAUCUUUCCACCUGUGCACCGACUGUAGGUCUGGAUACCUCUCGCCUCCGGGCGGAUGCGAGGGUUGCUCGUAAGGGCUUCCCUUGAACUUCCAGGCUCUACGUCUUUUUACACACCCCAAUAGUAUGAUGCAGAAUGUAGUCAAUGGGCUUCUCAGCCUAUAAAACACUAUACAACUUCCAGCAACGGAUCUCUUGGCUCUC